rnacentral:rRNA from 1 species
GACGAACGCUGGCGGCGUGCUUAACACAUGCAAGUCGAACGGUGAAGCGCCUUCCUUUUUGGUGGGUGUGGAUGAGUGGCGAACGGGUGAGUAACACGUGAGUAACCUGCCCCCUUCUUCUGGAUAACCGCAUGAAAGUGUGGCUAAUACGGGACAUUCUGGGUCUGUCGCAUGAUGGGUCUGGGAAAGAUAUUGUUUCGGUGGGGGAUGGGCUCGCGGCCUAUCAGCUUGUUGGUGGGGUGAUGGCCUACCAAGGCGGUGACGGGUAGCCGGCCUGAGAGGGUGGACGGUCACACUGGGACUGAGACACGGCCCAGACUCCUACGAGAGGCAGCAGUGGGGAAUAUUGCACAAUGGGCGCAAGCCUGAUGCAGCGACGCCGCGUGAGGGAUGGAGGCCUUCGGGUUGUGAACCUCUUUCGCCAGUGAAGCAGGCCUGCCUCGUUUGUGGGUGGGUUGACGGUAGCUGGAUAAGAAGCGCCGGCUAACUACGUG